rnacentral:rRNA from 1 species
AUUGAACGCUGGCGGCAUGCUUUACACAUGCAAGUCGAACGGCAGCGCGGGGCAACCUGGCGGCGAGUGGCGAACGGGUGAGUAAUACAUCGGAACGUACCCAGAAGUGGGGGAUAACGUAGCGAAAGUUACGCUAAUACCGCAUACGUUCUACGGAAGAAAGUGGGGGACCUUCGGGCCUCAUGCUUUUGGAGCGGCCGAUGUCUGAUUAGCUAGUUGGUGAGGUAAAGGCUCACCAAGGCGACGAUCAGUAGCUGGUCUGAGAGGACGACCAGCCACACUGGGACUGAGACACGGCCCAGACUCCUACGGGAGGCAGCAGUGGGGAAUUUUGGACAAUGGGCGCAAGCCUGAUCCAGCAAGGCCGCGUGAGUGAAGAAGGCCUUCGGGUUGUAAAGCUCUUUUGUCAGGGAAGAAACGGCUGAGGAUAAUACCUUCGGCUAAUGACGGUACCUGAAGAAUAAGCACCGGCUAACUACGU